AAAAUUGCGCACGCUCUGAAUAU
rnacentral:miRNA from 1 species